UGCAUUCACUACUGUAAGUCACUCUGGAUAAGAGCGUCUGCUAAAUGACUAAAA
rfam:Salmo salar isolate Sally breed double haploid chromosome ssa20, whole genome shotgun sequence.